rnacentral:rRNA from 1 species
AACGCGAAGAACCUUACCUGGGCUCGAACGGCUUCUCAACGACGGUGGAAACAUCGUUAUCCCGCAAGGGAGUGGAGUCGAGGUGCUGCAUGGCUGUCGUCAGCUCGUGUCGUGAGAUGUUGGGUUAAGUCCCGCAACGAGCGCAACCCUCGUCCUGUGUUGCUAUCCCGCAAGGGAGCACUCGCAGGAGACCGCCAGCGAUAAGCUGGAGGAAGGUGGGGAUGACGUCAAGUCCUCAUGGCCUUUAUGUCCAGGGCUACACACGUGCUACAAUGGCCGGUACAAAGCGUUCCCAAGCCGCGAGGUGGAGGCAAUCGCAAAAAACCGGUCUCAGUUCGGAUUGCAGGCUGCAACUCGCCUGCAUGAAGCUGGAAUCGCUAGUAAUGGCAGAUCAGCACGCUGCCGUGAAUACGUUCCCGGGCCUUGUA